CGUAAUCAACUUAUACACGUGGCUUAAUUGGCUGCCACGUCAUCAUCCCUUCCCUUCCACCCCUCCCUUUUCUUCAUCCUUUUCCCUCCCGAUCACCAACGGCUGCCAGCCACUACACCAAUGGAUCAAUAGAAGACGACAACAAAGGAAGCAUUAAUUGCGCUGUUGGCUCUCGCAAGACAGGCCAAUCUCUGAUGGAUGCUCGAUGGACUCAGAAGUGGAACCAAGCCUUCUUUUUCAUCUACGUCGUUGGUCUCAACGUUGACCCUCUAUUCUUUUACUCUUUGUCCAUCAGUGAGGCUCGCAUGUGCCUCUAUGUCGAUGGAUGGUUCUCCAUUACGAUCACUGCACUCCAGGGGCGGCUCAAGGCUUUUAUAAGCCUUGAGCCGCCCCUGCUGCACUCCAGUGCAUGAUGGACACAGUGCACCUCUGGAACAUGUGGCUUUGUGUGAGGUCCACCAUCCGAAUGAGGCACCUCGAUGGGGAUGAAGGAAGUCGGCUUGGCCGUGGUCACCAUCACUACUUGGUAUCCGUGAGAGACUUCUUUGAUCUCUUCAUCAUCCCCCUUGAGCCCCAGUUCAAUUCAGCAUGCGAGGUUUACGAAAAUAGGACAAUGGCCCUCGUGCGAUCACAACCACCUUCACCUCCAAGGAGCUUUGUAGGUAUUUGUCCCUGAGUGCACGUCUGAUGGAGAGAGAUAGAGGGAGAGAAAGUUGUGUUCAAUUGCCAGAAUGGGAAAGGGAUGAAGGAAAGGAAAGGGAGGAGGGAAAGGGAUGAUGAUGUAG